GAAUGAACGAAGAUAGGUGUUGAGUGCUUGAGCAUCAAAAUUCUCAAAAUCGGAAGGAUACCCCCUCUCUUGGAGCCACUCUGCGAAUAAGAGAAGGUCAUCAUCCUUGACCUUUGCAAAGCGAGAGCUGGAGCCACUCUGGUCAGCCGAUACUGAUGGACGCUCGGUUGUCGAGGCCUGGUCCGGGAUUUUGACAGCGUUAGCCGAGUUGUCAACCUGAAUGGAUUGUACGUCAGGUUCUUGGAGAGAGUCGAAACCUAUUCCCAAGUAAAAAUUAUUGUUUUUAACAACUGUAAGUACUUUUUUAAGUUUAUUCAUUUGUCAAUUACCAGAAAUCUUUUAUCAACACUGUCCUUUGUAUGUCACUUUUAGAAUAAAUGUGUUUGCUCAA